ensembl:snoRNA
ACCCCCUGGCAAUGGGCAAGGAGACACCUGAUGGGUGGUGUUGCUCUUAUAUCAAUCAGGGGCAAAGCAGAUGUACAGUCCUUAGUUCAUCCUAGCUUGAUGCCUGUGUUGGUAGCCAGAGCUGUUUCAUGCCUGCGGCACAUUA